GACGAACGCUGGCGGCGUGCUUAACACAUGCAAGUCGAACGGAAAGGCCCUGCUUUUGUGGGGUGCUCGAGUGGCGAACGGGUGAGUAACACGUGAGUAACCUGCCCUUGACUUUGGGAUAACUUCAGGAAACAGGGGCUAAUACCGGAUAGGAGCUCCUGCUGCAUGGUGGGGGUGGGAUAGUUUCGGCGGUUGGGGGUGGACUCGCGGCUUAUCAGCUUGUUGGUGGGGUAGUGGCUUACCAAGGCUUGGACGGGUAGCCGGCCUGAGAGGGUGACAGGCCACAUUAGGAUUGAGAUACGGCCCAGACGCGUACGGGAGGCAGCGGUGGGGAGUAGUACACAAGGGGCGGAAGCCUGAUGCAGCAACGCCGCGUGGGGGAUGACGGGCUUGGGGUAGUGAACCGAUUUCGCCUGAGACGAAGCGUGAGUGACGGUAAUGGGUAAAUAAGCACCGGCUAACUACGUG
rnacentral:rRNA from 1 species